rfam:Microgenomates bacterium GW2011_GWB1_45_17 TX00_C0011, whole genome shotgun sequence.
GGGCCGGUGGUGAAACUGGUAUACACGCAGGUUUUAGGAACCUGUCCCGCAAGGGGUGGAGGUCCGAGUCCUCUCCGGCCCA